GUGCAAACUUGAUCACUAACUCCGCAUGAUCCUGCCGAAGUGAGGGUGUUUGAGACAGGUUUGCUAAAUGGUGGUGAUAGAAAUGUAUUAGCCUCAGAAGCUACUGAGGUGCUCCAUUCUAUCCUAGUACAAUG